GCGGGGGACCCGGGACUUCCAAGUGUUCUGGCCAUGGAGGCAUGGUAUCCGUAACAUCCCCCAAAGGAGCUAAAGAAGAAAUCCACAAUUUACCAUGAGCAUUUCUCGUCUGAAGAUUGCCAAGCGAUUCCUCCAGGACAUUCCUCAAGAUCAAUUUCUGUUCAUCCACCUUGUCCUGGGAGGGACAUCAAUGGGUUUCCAUGUCCUUUGGCUUCUGGUUGAGUUCACUCAGUGGAGAACCCUGGCAAGAGGCAGGAAAAGGGGAGGAAGGUGAAAACCAUCCAUUUCUUGGAGAAGUGCCACGGUGGGGUUGCAAGUCCCAGGAUCAAGUUUUCGAUGUGUCUCUUUUUCCCGUAAAGUGGCUGAAAUCUGAAGCUGAAUCUGCAAGUGUCAUGGAGUCAUUGAAUCUCACAGUCUCAACUGAUAAAAGUUAUUAAAGGUCGUCUG
rnacentral:lncRNA from 10 species